rnacentral:lncRNA from 1 species
CACAGCACCUGCUCCCCGGGCAGACAUCAGGUGUGUGUGUGUGUGUGUGGGGGGACAGCUCUGCAGGGAAAGCCACGAACUACAGACUGGGGGCCGGGGUGUCGCUUCUACGGAAGCGCUGGUGACUCCCUCUACCGCGGAGGCGUCUGGAGGCCCCGCGCAGCUGACGUGUGGCGGCUCGUGGCUCACGCAGGACUUACUGGGGAAACAGCGAUCUGGGAAGUGAGCCCCGUGUGCAGGUUUAGCCUUCUUUCUAUCUCCCUUUGAAUCUUCAAGGAUCUUACCGUGGAACUCAGACUGAAUUGAACCCUUGUCUUGUCAGCUGACUUUCUCAGCGGUAAGAACCCUGGGGGAAGGAGCUUGCAUAUUCCUGAG